GCGGAUGUAGUUCAAUGGUUGAACCUCAGCCUUCCAAGCUGAUGGCGUGAGUUCGAUUCUCAUCAUCCGCUCCA
rnacentral:tRNA from 2 species